UUUGCACCAACUCUCCCACCCUAAAACACAAAAACCAAACAUUUGAACCGCUUAUGACAAUUCCAACAAAAAACAGUGAAAACACAUGGAGCAAGGGCCUAGGUGUCGCGGGAAGACAACAAUUUACGUUGGCAGCUGAAAGCAAUCAAGGUUCGCUCUCAACUCUCUCUCUCUCUCUGUUAAAAGUUUCGAUUUUGCAUUUUGUGACUAUGAAGCUUAAAUACUAUGCAUAUAUCUUUAGGGAAGCAGAAAAACCAAUAAAGAAUCUGAAUUUAUAAUUAAUCUGAACUAGCUGAAAGAAGCUAAUUAAUCAUAAUCACCAACUGAUUGUUCAUUGUUUAAUCUUCCAUAACGCAGUGAAUGAAGGGUUCAUUGUUUAUAUUCAUUGGAAGCAUGUGCAAACUUUACCAAUUUUUUAUUUUUUUAUUUUUUUCUGUUUGGUUUGGUUAAUUAAUUACUGGGAAAAUUUGAGAAAUCAGUAGCAACAGUGAAAAAAUCCUUUGUACCAUUGUCUUGGAAGUUGUAAAACAAUGUCACCUAUAGGGGCCAAUCUGAACUGAGUGAUUUAUAGGGUUAGGGUUUUAGUUAAUAUGGUAUGAUUAAAUUGCUUGAUUGAAAAACGACUUGAGCUGUAGGCCUUUUCUACAGUGAUAUAUUUAUUCUCGAUUUAAAUCAGAAGAAAAGGCAUUAGUUUUUGUGCAUGUGAUUAAAGUGCAGAAACCUUAGGAAAGAAAAGAAAAAUCUGAAGCUGUUUGAGAAAACCCCCAUAGUAAUCAAAUUUCCGAACCCUAGAUUGAGAAAAUCUUUAAAAAAAAACUAUUUACAAGCAUAAAACUUGAACUGUAAAAGACCUGAAAAAGAUUACUGGUGUAUAUAUGAGUACUUAAUAUUUCUAUGUGUUUGACAAUGCAGGUGCUCUUAGCCUUGGAACCUGCCAUCCAGAAACUGGAAUGCCCUUAACAAGCCAGCCAAUCGGCCAAGACAAUGCUGCAAUUCCAACGCAAGCACCCCAUUGCCCCCAGUCCAGCCUCUCGGUGCUGGCAAACUUCUUCAGAAAUUC
rnacentral:lncRNA from 1 species